GCUCCAUUCAGCAGUGACCUGGAAACAGUUGCUGCUAGGUCAAAUUCAGUUUGGAGGAAUUGGAAAUCCACCGUCUGAUUUGUUGAUGAAAAUGGAGAUUAAAGUGUUGUUUCAGAGCCGGAACCCUGAGCUAAUCAAAGCUGGCCUGCAGCACGUGAUCUCUCUACUCGCCACCUGAUUGGCUCCGUCACAGCGUCAAUUUAAAGAGCCAAGCGCGAGCGGCGUUCCUAUUGGCCGACUGCGUUCCGGCGCCAAUAUUUCAAUAUAAAGAGGGAGCAGACAGCUGCUGGAGCCGCUCAGUCUCUCUCUCCCCUGCUUUUAACUUUCACACCGUAACUUAUUUCAUUUUAAACCCGUCACAAUGCUUUCUGUUCGCGCGCCUCUGUCCGCGAAGAAGGAGAACUCUCUCAGCAGUGAGAUGAACAAGAUGGCGCUGGACAAAGAAAACACGCCCCCGAGCCUCAACACCACG